CCUACGGGAGGCAGCAGUGGGGAAUUUUGGACAAUGGGGGCAACCCUGAUCCAGCCAUGCCGCGUGAGUGAAGAAGGCCUUCGGGUUGUAAAGCUCUUUCGGCCGGAACGAAAUCGCGCACGUGAAUAACGUGCGUGGAUGACGGUACCGGAGUAAGAAGCACCGGCUAACUACGUGCCAGCAGCCGCGGUAAUACGUAGGGUGCGAGCGUUAAUCGGAAUUACUGGGCGUAAAGCGUGCGCAGGCGGUUCGCUAAGUCAGACGUGAAAGCCCCGGGCUUAACCUGGGAACGGCGUUUGAAACUGGCGGGCUCGAGUACGGCAGAGGGGGGUGGAAUUCCACGUGUAGCAGUGAAAUGCGUAGAUAUGUGGAGGAACACCGAUGGCGAAGGCAGCCCCCUGGGCCGAUACUGACGCUCAUGCACGAAAGCGUGGGGAGCAAACAGGAUUAGAUACCCUGGUAGUCCACGCCCUAAACUAUGUCAACUAGUUGUCGGGGAAGCAAUUCCUUGGUAACGCAGCUACGACGUGAGUAGUACGCCGUGGGAGGUACGGUCGCGAGAGUAAACUACGUAAGGUAAGUAGUUAGNGUGAGAGUGCGAGGCGACGACGAGGAGAGG
rnacentral:rRNA from 1 species